rnacentral:lncRNA from 1 species
GGAGGUAGAUUCCAUUUUCUGCGGCCGAAACGCCCCAGCCUGUUACACUCUGUGCUUUAUCUCUGCAGCCAACUCAGCGCCACGAGUAACUGUGUGUCCCCUGCUGUAACACAAUGAAGGUAGAUGUACCUGCGGAAUAGACCAAUGGAGCUGGAGUCACCUGCCACCAAUUUGGGACAUCGUGCUAUGAAGCAUUCGAAAACGAACGAGGAAGCAGUACAAGCGUGAUAGACACCUUGCACUGGUCCUGUCAGCUUUGUGUUUCGCUGGAGAGCAACAGGCAGAUUCAAGGACGCGCCCACCUCUGGUGAAAAGGCAGGGAAGGCUUUUCCAAGCAUGGCUCCUCCAGUCUCCUCCAGGAAUUCACUGAGACUUAACCACCGUCUAUGCUAGAACAUGCUCCUUGCAGCUAUCCAAACAUCUCCUGAGCUGUUUACUCUGCUCAGUGCCAGCCUUUCCGCAGACUGACGUUCCUGCAAGAGCGGGGCUCCCUCCUUUGCCUGGGAAAUCUGCAAUGCAUUGUCUGGCACAUCUCAUCCUCUGAUAGAUUCUCAUAGGAUGGGGUUUAAACCUUUAUCACCCCCUAUUAAUUAUACACUUGAGAUUUCUAUAGCUGGCAAAAAAAAAAAAAAGUCACUAAUAUGCUGUAAUCAGGCAGAGGGAGGCAGUGGCAUAUAAAUUGUUAAUUUAUGUAAAGCUACGUAUAGGGAAGAAAUUAUCCAGCAUGUGUGCACAAAGGUGAAAAUAUUAGCUUGUGUCAGUGCGUGCCAGUUGUGAAGCUUGACGCUGCCGCCAAACCUCCUGGGGGUGGGUGGUGACGUGGUGACCAUGAGAUCAGUCCUCUGAGGCUUGUCAGAGAUGGCAGACUCCAGGCUGGGAGCUUCUUAGGUGUAUUUUACACUGUAAUAGGUGAUUCUUCCUUUCAUUUGAGAGAACUAUGCAUGAAAGCAACCUAAAUCUUGUCCACAACGGGUGGAAGAGCCUCAGAAAGAUAUAUGGUCUUAGGUCACAAAACGUGUGUUCUUUGUUUGACACCCAGGCCCCCAGAUUCUCACCUGAAUAUCUCCGCCUCCCCCAUGCUUUAGCAGGUGCACCUUCCACUCCAUUCUCUUAUGUGAAUGAAAUGUACACAAAAUCUAUCUUCAGGAUUUGUUUUAUGAGACACACUUGAGGUGGAAGAUAUAUGUAUGUACAUAGUAUCUGACCUUAGAUACUGAGGGUUGAGUUAACUGUAUUUUCCUCUUCAGUUAGUGGUAGAGCACCCCCCCACAACCUGGUGGGCUGGACAGGGUCUCUUCCUUGUUUCCAUAAUUACUUAGUUAACGACCACACUUGUUCCCAUCCAUCCCCAUCCCAUUCUCAACCCCACACCCAGCCCCACUGCUGGCAACUAUGUCUGCAUGUGUAAUGGGUGUAUUUUUGUUCAUCUGUUUUCUUGAAGAGUAUACAUCAUUUGGGGUUGGAGUGUUUUUCACAAAUAUAAGAAGGUAGCAUUUUAUCAGGCCUUUCAUUUGGUUCACACAGGAUCAUGUGUUUGGCUUCCACCUGUUCUUGGAUACUGUGUACACAUUACCUGUACCUUCUAGCUUGGGGGGGGAAUGCUCCGAGGUACCAAUUCUGUCCAGAAUUACCUCCCCUUUCUUCCAGCGUGGACACCUAGAUUGCUUCCAAUCUUCUGCUACCAAAAUAAAACUUUCAUAAAUAUCCUUGCACACAAUAAACACCUUUGUG